rnacentral:rRNA from 1 species
CCUACGGGUGGCAGCAGUGGGGAAUAUUGGGCAAUGGGCGCAAGCCUGACCCAGCAACGCCGCGUGAAGGAAGAAGGCCUUCGGGUUGUAAACUUCUUUUCUCAGGGACGAAGAAAGUGACGGUACCUGAGGUAUAAGCCACGGCUAACUACGUGCCAGCAGCCGCGGAAAUACGUAGGUGGCAAGCGUUAUCCGGAUUUAUUGGGUGUAAAGGGCGUGUAGGCGGGUGCGCAAGUCAGAUGUGAAAACUCAGGGCUCAACCCUGAGCCUGCAUUUGAAACUGUGUUUCUUGAGUGCUGGAGAGGCAAUCGGAAUUCCAGGUGUAGCGGUGAAAUGCGUAGAUAUACGGAGGAACACCAGUGGCGAAGGCGGAUUGCUGGACAAUAACUGACGCUGAGGCGCGAAAGCGUGGGGAGCAAACAGGAUUAGAUACCCGAGUAGUC